GACAGAGGUGCCAAGCGUUAGGCGGAAUCACUGGGCUUAAAGCGUGUGUAGGCGGAUCGUUAAGUACCUUGUGAAAUCCCACGGCUCAACCGUGGAACUGCUCGGUAUACUGGCGGUCUUGAGCCACCUAGGGGCAACUGGAACAAGCGGUGGAGCGGUGAAAUGCGUAGAUAUCUGGAGGAACACCGGUGGCGAAGGCGGCAUCCUGGACCGACACUGACGCUGAGGAGCGAAAGCCAGGGGAGCAAACGGG
rnacentral:rRNA from 1 species